rnacentral:rRNA from 1 species
AUACGGAGGAUCCGAGCGUUAUCCGGAUUUAUUGGGUUUAAGGGUGCGUAGGUGGUUUGAUAAGUCAGCGGUGAAAGUUUGCAGCUUAACUGUAAAAAUGCCGUUGAAACUGUCGGACUUGAGUGUAAAUGAGGUAGGCGGAAUGCGUGGUGUAGCGGUGAAAUGCAUAGAUAUCACGCAGAACUCCGAUUGCGAAGGCAGCUUACUAAGCUACAACUGACACUGAAGCACGAAAGCGUGGGGAUCAAACAGGAUUAGAUACCCUGGUAGUCCACGCAGUAAACGAUGAUUACUAGCUGUUUGCGAUACACAGUAAGCGGCACAGCGAAAGCGUUAAGUAAUCCACCUGGGGAGUACGCCGGCAACGGUGAAACUCAAAGGAAUUGACGGGG